rnacentral:misc_RNA from 1 species
UCUCCCUUUAUCUAUUAUCAUAACAAGGCAACAUUGGAUACCGUGUCUUCACGGUCGCCAUGUGUCGCUUAUGAACAUUUCGGUCUCGCGCAAUGGAAAUCCACGAACCGUGUCAGGUCGGGAACGAAGCAGCACUAAGAGGAAUCUUCCAUGUGCCGCGAGGAAACCGGAGUGUUCGCGGCACUGACGGCUAUGUGGAUACGGUAUUUUUGUAUGGCUGA